GCCAAGCAUGGUGGUGCACAUCUGUAAUCCCAGCUACUAAGGAGGCUGGGGCAGGAGGAUCACAAGUUCAAGGACAGCCUGGACAACUUAGUGAGACCCUGUCUCAA
rnacentral:sRNA from 1 species